rnacentral:rRNA from 1 species
GUGCUUAACACAUGCAAGUCGAACGGGGUCCAUCCGGUAGCAAUACUGGUGAAGACCUAGUGGCGAACGGGUGAGUAACACGUGAGCAACCUGCCUCGAAGACUGGGAUAACAGCGGGAAACCGCUGCUAAUACCGGAUGCCCCCACCGGGUCGCAUGGCCUGGUGAGGAAAUGGAUUCCGCUUCGGGAGGGGCUCGCGGCCUAUCAGCUUGUUGGUGGGGUAACGGCCUACCAAGGCUACGACGGGUAGCUGGUCUGAGAGGACGAUCAGCCACACUGGGACUGAGACACGGCCCAG